CACGUAGGGGGCGAGCGUUGUCCGGAUUUAUUGGGCGUAAAGAGCUCGUAGGCGGCUCAGUAAGUCAGGUGUGAAAAACUCCAGGCUCAACCUGGAGACGCCACUUGAUACUGCUGUGGCUAGAGUCCGGUAGGGGAGCAUGGAAUUCCUGGUGUAGCGGUGAAAUGCGCAGAUAUCAGGAGGAACACCAGUGGCGGAAGGCGGUGCUCUGGGCCGGAACUGACGCUGGAGGAAGCGAAAGCGUGGGGAGCAAACAGG
rnacentral:rRNA from 1 species